UUCUGCUGUUUUUGUCUCCCGAGCUUAGAAACCUAUAAAUUGAGAGCUCAUUUUCAUUUAUGAUAGAGAGAACAAUUGCAUUCAAAGCCUACCUACCUGUUCUUGAUCAAAAAGCUCUCAUUUUCUUUCUUAGUGCAUUAAACCAUCACUUGCAUAUUCUUAGUGCACUCUUGCAAUUCAUCCUAGCUUUCUCUUGUAUUUGAGCCUUCCUUAAGCUAGGUUGAGAGUUUCAUCCUUGUGUAAACUGAGUGUGAAAGUCUUCAAGUGGUUCAAAUCUUGAAGAGAUUGUGUAAGAGCCCAUUGGAGCCGGAAUCCAAGUAUAAGACGAUUGAAAGCUUGAUUGAAGCUUCAAGUAAGUGGAACCCUCACUCGGUUAGGAGAUUGAGGAGAGUGGACGUAGGCAAAGGAGUGCCGAACCACUAUAAACCCGAGUUUGAAUUCUCUAACUCUAUCUCUUUCCUUUAUUUAUUUUGUACAUAUAUUAUUGUGUGAAAAAAGUUUUUGAAAAACCCAAUUCACCCCCCCUUUUGGGUAUUUUCCUUAAUUAUUCAUAGCCUUUGUUUUAUCAAU
rnacentral:lncRNA from 1 species